rnacentral:rRNA from 1 species
UUGGGUUUAAGGGAGCGUAGAUGGAUGUCCUUGUCAGUUGUGAAAGUUUGCGGCUCAACCGUAAAAUUGCAGUUGAUACUGGAUGUCUUGAGUGCAGUUGAGGCAGGCGGAAUUCGUGGUGUAGCGGUGAAAUGCUUAGAUAUCACGAAGAACUCCGAUUGCGAAGGCAGCCUGCUAAGCUGCAACUGACAUUGAGGCUCGAAAGUGUGGGUAUCAAACAGGAUUAGAUACCCUGGUAGUCCACACGGUAAACGGUGAAUACUCGCUGUAUGCGAUAUACGGCAAGCGGCCAAGCGAAAGCGUUAAGUAUUCCACCUGGGGAGUACGCCGGCAACGGUGAAACUCAAAGGAAUUGACGGGGGCCCGCACAAGCGGAGGAACAUGUGGUUUAAUUCGAUGAUACGCGAGGAACCUUACCCGGGCUUAAAUUGCACUCGAAUGAUCCGGAAACGGUUCAGCUAGCAAUAGCGAGUGUGAAGGUGCUGCAUGGUUGUCGUCAGCUCGUGCCGUGAGGUGUCGGCUUAAGUGCCAUAACGAGCGCAACCCUUGUUGUCAGUUACUAACAGGUGAUGCUGAGGACUCUGACAAGACUGCCAUCGUAAGAUGUGAGGAAGGUGGGGAUGACGUCAAAUCAGCACGGCCCUUACGUCCGGGGCUACACACGUGUUACAAUGGGGGGUACAGAGGGCCGCUACCACGCGAGUGGAUGCCAAUCCCUAAAACCCCUCUCAGUUCGGACUGGAGUCUGCAACCCGACUCCACGAAGCUGGAUUCGCUAGUAAUCGCGCAUCAGCCACGGCGCGGUGAAUACGUUCCCGGGCCUUGUACACACCGCCCGUCAAGCCAUGGGAGCCGGGGGUACCUGAAGUGCGUAACCGCGAGGAUCGUCCUAGGGUAAAACUGG